rnacentral:rRNA from 1 species
GCUUACGUCCAAACCGCCUGGUUCACGCCCCGAUCUCGUUUGAUCUCGGAAGCUAAGAUAGGUUGGGCCUGGUUAGUACUUGGAUGGGAGACCGCCUGGGAAUACCAGGUGCUGUAAGCU